rnacentral:misc_RNA from 1 species
GAUGAAGAACGUAGCGAAAUGCGAUAAGUAAUGUGAAUUGCAGAAUUCAGUGAAUCAUCGAAUCUUUGAACGCACCUUGCGCCCUUUGGCCAUUCCGAAGGGCAUGCCUGUUUGAGUAUCAUGAACACCUCAACUCUCAUGGCUCGCCAUGAUGAGCUUGGACUUUGGGGGUCUUGCUGGCCUGUGGUCGGCUCCUCUCAAAUGGAUCAGCUUGCCAGUGUUUGGUGGCAUCACAGGUGUGAUAACUAUCUGCGCUUGUGGUUUUCCAUCAGAUAAACUUCAGUGAUGGAGGUUCGCUGGAGCUCAUAAACGUCUACCCUAAGCGGGGACAGCCCUUUGAAUGUUUGAUCUCAAAUCAGGUAGGACUACCCGCUGAACUUAAGCAUAUCAAUAAGCGGAGGA